GUCGAGCGGAAUGAUGAGAGCUUGCUCUCUGAUUUUAGCGGCGGACGGGUGAGUAACACGUGGGCAACCUGCCCUACAGAUGGGGAUAACUCCGGGAAACCGGGGCUAAUACCGAAUAAUCAGUUUGUCCGCAUGGACAAACUCUGAAAGACGGUUUCGGCUGUCACUGUAGGAUGGGCCCGCGGCGCAUUAGCUAGUUGGUGGGGUAAUGGCCUACCAAGGCAACGAUGCGUAGCCGACCUGAGAGGGUGAUCGGCCACACUGGGACUGAGACACGGCCCAGACUCCUACGGGAGGCAGCAGUAGGGAAUCUUCCACAAUGGACGAAAGUCUGAUGGAGCAAUGCCGCGUGAGCGAAGAAGGUUUUCGGAUCGUAAAGCUCUGUUGUAAGGGAAGAACACGUACGGGAGUAACUGCCCGUGCCAUGACGGUACCUUAUUAGAAAGCCACGGCUAACUACGUGCCAGCAGCCGCGGUAAUACGUAGGUGGCAAGCGUUGUCCGGAAUUAUUGGGCGUAAAGCGCGCGCAGGCGGUUCUUUAAGUCUGAUGUGAAAGCCCACGGCUCAACCGUGGAGGGUCAUUGGAAACUGGAGAACUUGAGUACAGAAGAGGAAAGCGGAAUUCCACGUGUAGCGGUGAAAUGCGUA
rnacentral:rRNA from 1 species